rnacentral:ncRNA from 1 species
AUGACGUGUGCGGGAGAGUCCGGACGCCGAUCCGGACACCGAAGGAGCAAGCCUCCCCGCCAAUCUCUCAGGUCCGUGUACCGCACCCGUCCG